CUGGGAGUGCUUUACUUUGUUUCUCUGAUUAAUUUUUAUUUUCGAAAAAGCUCAUGGACGCAGGCGAAUAAUUGAAAUUAACUAAAAGUAAAAUUUAUUAUCCUAACUUUUGAACCGUCGAUUUUAUAUAGAGUAAUUUUUGGAUGAAAACACUCGUAAAGUCCUCAGUAUAUGUUCAUAAAUAUUUUGAAAAUAUACGUAAAAUCUCUACAACCUGUCAGUACAUUUUUAAAACACCCAAAAAAUACUAAAGCUUGUUGCGUUGAAACCAAAAUUACUUGAAAAUAACGCGCAAAUGCCAAACGUCUUUGAGAAAACAUCGAUGUUCAAAUUGGACCGGGAGAUUCGCAAUCAGUGGGACUAUGCUUUUCCUGAGUGCCUUAGCGUUUGGGAUGUUUACUGGUUUGCAGAAUGUAAGCACCGAAGUGGCAAGCACGGACAGUGACAUCGUCUCGACGACCGUUUCUGAAAUGGGUCUGAUAGAGACAUCGAAAGCAACUGUGACGAGCGAUUUCGUUAACGUUACUAUUCAAGAACGUCCUUCGAUGUGGGAUAUGUACUUCAACCACUGUCCCAAGUGGAGGCCUAUUAACCAUGUGUUUUUCCAAGCAUCGAACAUAUUUUUUCUUCUGUCUUUUCUCGCGCCUCAUACGCCAAGUGGUCUGAUAUGGCUCCGAGUGGCUUUGAUCCUUGGCUGCACGUUUUCUGGACUGUGGGCUUGGAGUAUUGAGUGUUAUUUGGAUGCUGUGUUGUGGAACAGUGCAUUUAUAUUUAUAAACUUUGUGUACUUUGCUAUUCAAUUUUAUUUGAUGCGCCCUAUAAGAUUUCACAAGGAAAUUGAAGAGGUAUAUGUGGCGCUAUUCAAGCCGCUGCGAGUGUCGCGGCGCCAGUUCCGGCGCGUGCUGCAGUGCAUGCGCAAUGUACGGCACCUCAAGUGCCACGAGCUGUACGCGCACGAGAAGGUCACCAAGGUGGACAGCCUCUCGCUCGUGCUCUCCGGGAAGCUGGUGGUGUCUCAGAACCAGCGCGCGUUACACAUUGUAUUUCCGAACCACUUCCUGGACUCGCCUGAAUGGUUCGGUGUGUCAACUGACGAGUUCUUUCAGGUGUCCAUAAUGGCAAUGGAAGAGUCCCGAGUGCUGGUGUGGCACCGGGACAAGUUAAAGUUGUCCAUAAUGUCUGACGCGUUCCUUCAGACCGUGUUCGAUCACAUUCUGGGACGAGACGUCGUUCACAAGCUGAUGCAGGUGAGUGAAACGAUGGCGGUGAGCAACGGCCACCUGCCGAACAGCUACGAGGACGGUGAGGACAAGCCGAUGCUGAUCGUGAAGAAGUCCGGAGACGGGCCCGGGAUUACCGCGCUGCUCAACAGACAGCUACAAGGCGAACACGCUCCACUGCUACGAGCGCCGUCCACGCAAAGCUGCUGAAUUAACGCCAUCCCCUCAUCCCCACCUCUCAGAGCCUCAUCCCCCAUUGCAUCCCCAUUAAAUAUCAAUAUUCAUUAUUAAUAUGCUUUAUAUGCAUGACUAUGGCAAGCUUUUGUUGUUUCUAAGUGUAGUCUAGCCCCCUUAUUCAUAAUGGUCCGCUAACUUUAAACAGCCGCUUAGGAGUGUUUUUUUCUCAUUCUGACUUAGGUCAAUAGAAGAAGACAGAGUGAGAAUUAGCAAUGCUUUAAGUAAGAAGACUAUUAUGAAUAAGGGGGUAGGUGUAUAAUUUUAUGUAUUUGUUUCGUGUAUUAACUUUACUAUCUACUUAACUUUUAUUAUACACUAUACUCGUUUUAAUUAUAUGAUUGUAAUUAUUAUGACGGGUACCCACGAUAUAUAUUUUAUUAAUUUGAUGUUUGCGUAAAAUUAAAAGAAAUAUUUAUUCAUCAUAAUUAUCUGUCACUUACAAAAUUUUGUCAAACAAUUCAAAUUAAAGGAAAUUAAAGGCAAGGCACACUCUCGUUGCCUUUUUCCGGCAAACUGAUUUAUUAAAUCAUUUAUACCUGAUGAUGACUUUAGUUUUUUUGUCAUUUUUGUCAUUUCUGAAAUAAAAAAAAAUUGGGAAGUUUUUAUUAAUUUUUGCUUGCGCACGUCGGGGCCUAAAAGUUUAAAAACAUAUAAUAAUAUGAUGUCUUAAAUUUUGUAUGAUAUCAAAAUAUAAAUGUAAAUUCCGGAGUGAUUGCAUGUAUGGUAAACAUAAAAAGACGAGGCUGAUAAGACAAAUACUUGGCAUUAUUGAGUAAAUAAUAAAAAAGGUAGCGAAAUAGGUACCCUUGAUGGAAAACCUCCGAUAUAUCCAAAACUACUGUUAUUAUUUAUACAAAAGAGGUUGAUAAAUAUAUAAUGAGGGAGAUGAAAAGUGAGAUAUGGUUUCACUUUCUGGGAUGAAAUAACUUAUGGUUACCUAUAUGGGUUUGGCUAGAAGGGGUGUCGUAAGAAAUAAUGUCUACUUAGAUUAAGGAUUGGUCUCCAACUACUACUACUCCCAAGUGGACGUACUCGAGCCAGUCUCGAACAAUGUGUGACGUUGACCUUUGAGUUUUAUAUAUAAAUAAUACUAAGAGAAAUAAGAAAGACACUGGGGAUAACAUAUCGUCAUUAAUUAUUUUGUGUUUUAUUAAUUUUAAUGUAAAAUAACACGUAUAUUACAAAAUUUGAAAGACGCCAUUGAGUUUCAAGAUGCCACGGACACAAGCAUCUAAUAGUUAAUUUAAUUUAAAAAAUAAUUUAACAUUCGUGCAAAACACAAUAUAAAAUGUUAUAUCGUAUGUUGGUUUAAGAUAGGGACAUCUAAUUACGAUUAAGAAUAUUAAUAGCUUUAUUUUUUUUUAAUUUAUAUUGAAGCUUUGUCGAUCUUACAUUUUCGACCAUGCCGUCCUCAAUGAAAAUUAAAAUCUUAGUCAUUUCAUUUUGUAUCUAACUCAGGUUACGUUACUAAUAUUAUAUUUAACUAUGUUGUCUUAUACGCACACAGUGUACCUUGUUAAGUUAUAUUUACCAUUGCUAUAAAUUAAGUAGUCGUCCAGGUAGUGGCGAAGCGGGGCCCCGUAAAAGAAAAAAAAAUGCUUGCAUAAAAUUAAAAGAAAUAUUUAUUCAUCAUAAUUAUCUGUCACUUUUUCCAAAAAUUUUUCAAACAAUUAAAAUUAAAGGAAAUGAAAGGCAAGGCACUCCUUGCCUUUUUUCGGCAAACUGAUUGAUUAAAUCAUUUAUACCUGAUGAUUAGUUUAGUUUUUUUGUUAGAUUUCUUUAAUUUUUGUCAUUUUUGAAAUAAAAAAAAAUUGGGGAGUAUUUAUUAAUUUUUGCUUACGCACGUCGGGGCCCCCCGCGGCUAGAGGGCCCCGUAUAAUUGAUGCGGCAGAUACGGCGGUAGCUACGCCCCUGCGUGUAGGUAUUUUUGAGUACAAAUUCAAUCCAUAUUACUUAUAGAUGUAGUAUUUAAUUUUGAUAUUAUAGAUAUAGAUAUAGUAAAUAAUAGUUGUAUGUAUUCAUAAUCACAGUUACCUUUUUUCAUGUAUCUAGGUUAGCACAACCGUGAUCUAUUGAACACUCACAAACUCAUAUCAAUGCCUAUUGUAUUAAUAUGAUAAAUGCUUGCUUUAUAUCUGCAUGAAUAUGAAGAAAUUAGAUUUUUUAAGACAACUUUGCCUAAUAUGAUAAAAUUGCAUAAUUCUAAAAUAACCUCUAUUAAAAUUGUUCUUCAUUUUAGUUGUUCAGAAUUAAAGUGAAUUUUGCAUUGUUAGGAAAUUUGAAAAAUAUCAUGUUACAUUUUACGCGAAAUUUUUAAUGCAUACAAUUAAAAUGAAAAACGUAGUUUUUGUUAAUAAUCCUUCAAACCAUGACUAAACAAAGGCUGUAUAUAAAUUUAAGGCUCAUUAAAAAAUCUAAGCAUAUAAAGAAACAACCGAUUUUUUUUUUCAAAUUUUAUAUUACCUAAUUAUAGCCUACUUUGUGUGUUAACCACCUUAUUUAUUACCAAUGAUAUUAGAUACGUUAUAUAUUCACAAAACAACUGUAAAAAAUGUAGCGCAACACACUGACAAGAUGUAAAAAGGAUGGCAUUAUUAAAACAAUAAGGAAAAAAGAAGACAGCUAGUGUUUGUCAAUUGUGCAUAAGUGUAACGUUCCUUCAAAAUGCGUCGCAAUUAGGACACUUUCGAGUUACGCUAUGCGCGCACUAAUGACUAAAUAGUACUAAUAAUAUGUAAUAUCAUUGACUCAUAUCUAAUAUCUUGGUCAAGAUAAACAGGCUUGACUGUCACUUUAUUAGUUUCAUGCAUAAUGUUUUCAUAUAGGUAACUUGCUUUUCGUUUGAUUCUUAGUUAUAAUAAUAUAAUUUGACUCGUCAGGUUAGUGUAUCUUGACCUAACGUAACUCUGUAAUAUUUCUAACGCCUGCCCUAGUUCUAUUAUAUUAUUACCGUAUACCCUACUUGCCUUUCUUCUCAAAAAUCCCAAGCAUGUUUGGCAGACCCGAGACAUUCAGCUGCUGAUCCUAACGCGUGGCGGCUUGGUAGAAUAGAAGAGGUGGAUCACGAGACACCAGUCUGAGGGCACGCGUUGCACCUAGCGGUCAGGUCAUAUAAACGUGAUCCCCGCUAGGGCAAUAUUGACUCUGCGUACAUGAAAAUAUGCUCCCUAGUUGUGUUCAUUGGACGGCCGAAUGGGUGGUACGCGUUGUUCAGUUGCAAUAAUACAAUGUUGUUUAUGUGACUCUAUGGUAGCUGUCAAGCGUGACGUUCGCGGGUUUUUUGAAUUUCGAAUUGUGAUUUUAUGUUGUAUUUGAUCUCUUUUCUUCUGAUUUGCUUUUUAUAAGAUUGGCUAUGGUUAUCAUCCAAUAACAAUCGGGUAGCUACCCAAUUAAUAAUAUUUAAUUGCUUGAAUUAACUUGAAAUGCUUUUUCAGCACAUUUGACAGGCCACCGUAACUGGAUGGGUGAUAUUGUAUUAUUAUUGUUAGGAGAAGAACUAUUAUCGUUUAUAUCAUAGAACAAUCUUAUAUUAACAAAUUAGGUAUUCAGAAUCCAUUAUUUUGUUAACUACAUAUUAUAUUAAAUAUAGAUAUUUAAUUAGACUGAAGAUGAUGAUAUGUUUUGAUGGAACUGAUUGUAAAUAUAUAUUGUAUUUAAAUGUACAAAAGUAGUGUAUUGGUUUUGUGUGAAUGUUGUUUUAUUGGUGAUAAGAAGUGGUGACAUAUUAUCACAGCAAUAAUAUUUGUAGAUGAGUUAAAAAGCUUCUAUGCCCGGGACAUAUUUAGUAAUUAUUCUUUACCAAUACUAGAAUAUAAACAUAAAACAGAGGGUGCAAUCCUGAUGGUAGGCAUAUGAAGGUAUAAUAGAAUUUUACUCAAAAUCAUAUUGCUUUUUGCGCCAAAUAUCACAUAUACAUGACUUGACAAUACUUUAUUUUACUUAUUUGUAUCCUGACAUUUUCUAUUUAAAAAAAAUAUUUGGACAUGACAUAUACAGGCUGUCCAAGAAUAGGUGGGACAAGGGUAAAUGGGAAUGACUUUGGACUAUGAGCUUUCAGUUAACAAAAAAAAAUUGGGUGUUACGGUUUUUGAGUUAUUGAAAUUUGAAAUAAUAGAUUUAACAAAAAAUUGAUUCGGUGAAAUUAACAUUUACUGUCAUGAAAGUGUGCAUUGAAUUUACAAAAAAAUUCACACCUUUAUUUUAAAAGUAGGUAAAUUGUUUUCACACUUUUGUCAAGUCAUUUUUGCAAAUGAUACCAUUUUAGUACCUCAUUAAUUGAGCAAGUUUUUAAGAUAGUUACACAAAUCAAGUCUAUUUAUUAUACAUACAAAUCAUUGCGAUCAUUGAUUUGAUUGAUUGAAGAUUUUAGGUUAUUUAGAUCAUUUUUUAGUAACAAUACAACGGACACGGGGUAUCACUUUUUCCAUAUUUCAAAUAAGCUCUAAUGAUUAAUACUCAAAAACCGUCGAACUUUAAAGUAACUUUUUUUGAUUAUCUAAAAGCUCAUAGACCAAAGUCAUUCCCAUUUACCUUAGUCCCACCUAUUCAUGGACGCCCAGUAGAUGUCUCGACAUAAUGUACAAGCAGAAGUUGAACAUUCAUCGUAAAUGCAUCAAUCAUUUUUUGUCGCACAAUAAUAGUGAUUCAUUUGAUUUAAAUUGGUUAUGAUUUCUUAUAAUUUGUACAGCAUUCUUUGUGAUUCCUAAUAUUGUUUGCGCUUUUUUUAUUCCACUUUUAUCUAAAUACGCACAAGUAUUGUUAGAAACAAUAGUUGAUGAAGGAUUUUAAUCUCUACUACACCAAUAAAUUACUAUGAAAAAUACUUUAUCAGCAAUAUAUUUGCAGGAAUGUAUUUAUUAUUUAAUGAACAAUAUUAUUAUAAUUCAGAUCCAUUACUUUCAGAUGUUCAUUGGCGUAUUAAUUGUGUUUUCAUACUGUCUGGUACACAGUGGAUUAUGGUUGCUUUACUUAUUAUAUGAGUAAAAUAACCCUUAAUUAUGUUGUGUUUAGUAUGUAUUUUUGUAGUUUUUAUAGGUACUACAAAAAUAAAACAUACCUACCAAUAUACAGAAGAGCCUCAAUAAUCUGAACUACCAAAAACUAACCCCUGUUUAUAGUAUGUUAAAAAAAUGCAAGUAUAUUUUCACAAAAUAUAUUUACUAUAGUUUAAGAGAAAACAUAAGAUCAGCUAACGGUAAGGGAGAGAGAGGGGCAGUCGGCAGUUCAGAUUAGCCAGAGUACGGAUUAUUUAUCCAGGCUCUACUGUAUAUAUUUCCACUUCACAAACUGAUGGACAAUUGUUGACAAAUAUGAUGUAUAUGUUACGGGCAAUUUGAUAAGUCCGGGCACUAUUAAUAAUGGCCGGUCUGUAUUCAUAAUGCCCGACUCAAUUGGACAAUGUGACUAAAACAGCAUGACUAAUCACUUUUCCCGGCCAUUAUGAAUAAUGCCCACCCUAUCUUGGGCAAAGUAAUAAAAUAGGUGAACUGUAGUGUUUUUGUUUAUUAAUUGAAAUUAAACUUACAAAAUUAUCAUGAAAAGUUAGCAAAAAAUAAACUAUUGAACAAAGUAGUUAAAAAAUAAACAGUUAAAAAUGUAAUAACAUCAUUAGUUAACUACUUUUAUUUUGACAAGUAUAUUACUUUACAAAAAAUAGUUUAAAAAUUAGUAAGCUGAGAAAAAUCAACAAAAAUAUCUAUUAAGGACUGUGCAAGAAAGUUAUUAAGAAAGUAAUAAGUGAUAAAUUCAAGCUAUCUCAAACACUGACUUAUUACAUGGACCACGGGCCGUCGGGCAUUAUUAAUAAUGGCCGGUCAAAGUGAUAAAUUAAUCACUUUGCCCAUCGCUCUUGGACAUUAUUAAAAAUGGCCGGUCCUUAUUAAUAAUGCCCAGUUAAUCACGUUGCCCGUAACAUAUACAUUUAGACUAAACAUUCCAUAUUAUUGUAGUUUACCAGAUGUAUGAAUUAAUUGAUUUAUAAACCUAACAGUAUUGAAGCAGAAUUUAUAACAAAAUGACAUUGUUUAAAUCCAAUCCUUUAAUAUUCCUUUGAUAAGUUAUACGUCUAGAUAGAGUCUCUUAAUGUUAUACAACCGAUAAAAACAGGCGAGGAAAAUUAGCUUAGUGUGUGUGACAAGCAAUGUCCUACACUCGAUUUGUAUGACACUUUGUGUUAGUGCAUUGCUCAAAAUAGAGGUUAGUUCAAAACACAAUUUUUUUCGACGUUUUUACAGCUGUCACAGUCUAUCUAGAUGUAUAAAUGAUCUAAGAUCUGAUCUAAUAUUCAUUCUGCAAAAGAAAUGUUCCUAAGCAUUUUAGUGGAAAACAAUAGAUAACAUUUAUAACUGUCUUAAAUAUUAUGUGUUGUUUAUUGUAAAAGCUAUAUUUCAGCCUAAUUUUAAUGAAUGUAUGAAUGUUCAAUGUAACAACAUCAAUAUGUUAUAAAAUCAAUUAAUCAAAAAUAUAUUGUUAAAAGUUAUCUAAUUUAAUAUCAUAAACACACUGCCAUUGCCAAUGUAUGAAACUGUUAUGUGUUUUAAAUAAUAAAUUGUGGAUUGAAGGAUGUGAGAUAAGUAUUGCUGCAUAAUGCCAAAAUUAAGAUUUUCUCAACUCAGACACUCCACCAUCAAAAUAAGAUGUCAUAUCAUCAAUACCUACUCAUUGUUUGACAGUUCUCUUGGCUGUACAUUCCACCCAAAUGUCAAGAUAUAUUUUAAAUUAUUAUGGACGAAAAAAUAUUUUUGGCUGGAUUAGAGAUGGUUGUGAAUAAUGGUCAGACAAAACAAUGUUUAGGAUACUUAUUAUGGUAUAAUAAAUAUUCAUUUUUAUGUUCUUGAUAAUGUGUCAAGUGCAAAAGAUAUAACAGUAGACUAUCCCCACUUACGGCCGUUUUCAAUAUACUUAUCUAUCCUUAGUUUAACUUACGAGAGGUAGACAAAUCUAUCAUUUUAGGCUUAGUUACAUUUCAAUACCUAUCGACAUAAAGCAUUGGACUAUAACUAUAUUGGACUUAACUAUGGAUAGAUAAGAUCUUGUCAUUAAACGGUGAUAGCAAUGUAUCCGUAACUAGAGAUACGUUAUUGAUAACGGCCGUUAGAUAAUUUAUAUGUCUAGAUAGUGUCUUGCUGUUAAACAACUGAUAAAAAGGCCGGGCAUAUUAGUUUAGUGUGCGUGACAAGCAACGACUUACACUCGCGAUUUGUAUAACACUAUAUAUUAGUGUGCGUGAAUUGCUCAAAAUAAAGGUUAGUUCUAAAGUCUAUUUUUUUUUCGACGUUUUCACAGCUGCCAUAGUCUAUCUAGGCGUAUAAAUGAUCUAAGGUGUCUCCAUUAUAAUGAGGAUUAAUACCAAUGUCUUUUUGAAUCGGUUUGUACAUUUAUUUGACACAUAAAAGGUCAGCAACUCUCAAGUUGACACCUAUGGUGUUACAUGAGAGUAUGUACUGAGGUGAUCACAUCCCAUUCGGUGAACCUGUAUGUAUACUUCAUUUGUCCUUCUCUUCUAUAAAAAAAUUGUGAGAAAUAUAUCUAGUUCCAAUGCUUGUAAUUGAAAAAAAACCAAGAUUAACAUAGUUUUUAUUCUAUAGUUUCAACCAGAUAUAUUUUAAAUUUCUCUCAUUGAUACUUGCUGGCCCCACUGAAAUAAAAUAAAAUCUGAGGUCUGAUAACAUAAUCUUAUGAGAAAAAAAUAUUUUACCAAUAACGAGAGAAAUUGUUUUUGAUGAUGGAGUUGUAUUUGUGGAAUGCCUUAACAAGUUGCCAUGUGUAAUAAGUGUGUGCCUGAUCACUGAAGUCAUUGUAGUGUGUGUGAGAUAGACAUAAAUAAAAUAACUAUUGAAUUGUGUAAAA